AUCCUUUUGCAGUUCAUACACAUGCUGAUUGGGUGUUCACGCUAUCGUGAGAGAUGUGCCUCCCCCAAACCUUAUUUACAACACCAGCACGUUACCCGUGUGACA